rnacentral:lncRNA from 1 species
UGUAAGUGUGCUCAGAGUUCCCGGGUAGCCCAGAAACUCAAACAUUACAACAGGAGAUCCUUGCUGGCAGACCCUGAGGGCCAGUCUAGAUGUGUCUACUAGAGGGUGCAGCUGAUUCCAGGAGCAAUCAAGAGGCAGCUGUUUGUGGGAGGCUCCGGCGUAUGGGAUGGAUCUCCCACAUGCCUGGAUUUGCAGCUUCAUAAGGUAUGGAAUGAGUAAUAUAGAAUGAUAAUAGGAAGAGAAGGAAGAAGGACAGGGAUCCAGGGUCCUGUUCUGGCUCAGAACUCCAAGGAGGUG